CAGUGACUGGUGGAAGCAGAUGCAGAGAUCUCCCAUUAAUUUUUGUCUUUUUUUCCCCUUUCAAUUGAGAUAGGGUCACACUGCAUGGCCCAGGCUGGCCUCAAAUAUGCAGUGAUCUCAGGUUCUCAAUUGCUGGGAUCACAGGUGUGAUGAUACCUUGCUCCCCACUGAUUCCUCUUGAGAGUUUUCUGUUAGAGUUUUCUUCUUAAAAGUUUUCUGUUCAAGAUCAGUUGAACAUUGAGAAUUUGAUUGCCAGAUUACUGUUCCUUUUGUAACCUAGGCAACAUAUUUCCCAAUACAGCUCAUCAUUUUCUCUUUGUAGAAGGAAGCACAAAGACUCCCAGCUCUCCACCCGGGGCCUAGCCAUGGAUGUCUGCAUCCAGAUUUCUCAGUCCUUGGAUGGGGUUUAUGGCUGUUGUGAAUAGAACAGCAAAAAGAAAACAUUGCUAAGCAAGUAUUUGUGGAGGAGGAUGUCAAGCCUUUGGGCAUACUGAAGGAAUCGUAUAGGUCAGGCUAUGAGACUCAAGAAUACAUAUUGCCCAUGAAGAUAAAGACAAAGGACAUUCACGAGAAAAUGUUGCAGUGGAUCCAUAUUGUACUAGACUCUGGACCAGAAACUGGGCUGAUGUGCAGCUUCUCUUUCUAUUUAAGAACAAGAGGAAAGCUCCAGGACAAGUUUGCUUAUGUGAUCACAGGUGAUUUUGCUCCAUAUGUUCCUUUCGGAGCAGGCUCUUGUGGUUGUACACAGCUCCUUUCCAGAUUGGGAUUCAAUACCUAAGACUUGUAAGGUGGUGGCUCAAAUAUGCAACUCAAGCUCUUUUCUCUUAAGACUCUAGAACCACAGGGAUUUGACAUUCCCUCUUGAAGACGAUGAUCACCAGACAAGGUGAACCGACUAACUGCUGUAUUCCACUUAACUCAACAUCCCCUCCUGUGAGUCCUUUGAAAGUGGCA